rnacentral:lncRNA from 1 species
AAGGUAAUGGGAAAGGUGACAUAGGAUUUUUCUUUGUUCUCACUUUCCUGCAGAUAUAGGAGAUGCAAAGGAGUGUUUUUCUUCUGCUUGCCAGGCCUUGUGUCCCUUUGAAAAGAAUUUCAUCACCCUACUUUAUGCUAUCACAUCAUCUCUCUCACCAAUAGGCAAAUACGUGACAGGAGCAGAUUUGCAGUGAAGAGCUGCUAAUGCAGAAGGAUCCGUUCCGGAUGUUCUCCUCCCAUCUGUUAUACAGUGCAGCAGCUCUUCUGCAUCUCCUGGGACGAUGCAUGAGGAGUCAGAAAAAUUGUGGUCCUUGUGCUGGGAAUGCUGUGACAAGAAGUUUGAAGCUUGGACUCAGCAGCAGCAGAAGUUGCACAAAGUGUUCGUUCGUCACGGCUGCUGUGGCUGCAGUCUUGGCUUUGGCUGCAGUGAUCCCACAAGUUCAAGCAGAGAGCAGGGCUGGGGCUCUCUGAAAAGAUCCUUCCUUUGGAAAAGAGACACAAAAUCAGGAAGUGAUGUUGUCAAAGAACAAUAUUACACCACGUGGACUCAAACAUUUCUCUGGAAAGAAAGACAUCUGAUUUCAGUGGGACUUGAUGUUGCAUAA